UACGUAGGUCCCGAGCGUUGUCCAGAUUUAUUGGGCGUAAAGCGAGCGCAGGUGGUUUAUUAAGUCUGGUGUAAAAGGCAGUGGCUCAACCAUUGUAUGCAUUGGAAACUGGUAGACUUGAGUGCAGGAGAGGAGAGUGGAAUUCCAUGUGUAGCGGUAAAAUGCGUAGAUAUAUGGAGGAACACCGGUGGCGAAAGCGGCUCCCUGGCCUGUAACUGACACUGAGGCUCGAAAGCGUGGGUAGCAAACAGG
rnacentral:rRNA from 1 species